rnacentral:rRNA from 1 species
UACAGAGGUCCCAAGCGUUGUUCGGAUUCACUGGGCGUAAAGGGUGCGUAGGUGGUGAGGUAAGUCGGAUGUGAAAGCUCGGAGCUCAACUCCGAAAUGGCAUUGGAAACUACCUUGCUCGAGGGUUGGAGGGGGGACUGGAAUACUUGGUGUAGCAGUGAAAUGCGUAGAUAUCAAGUGGAACACCAGUGGCGAAGGCGAGUCCCUGGACAACUCCUGACACUGAGGCACGAAAGCUAGGGAGCAAACAGG